rnacentral:rRNA from 1 species
CCCACCCUUGUGUAUAUUAUAUUGUUGCUUUAGCAGGUCGCCCUCUGGGCGUCGGCCUCGGCUGACUGUGCCUGCUAGAGGACCCUAAAUUUUGAAAUACAGUGUCGUCUGAGUACUAUUUAAUAGUUAAAACUUUCAACAACGGAUCUCUUGGUUCUGGCAUCGAUGAAGAACGCAGCGAAAUGCGAUAAGUAAUGUGAAUUGCAGAAUUCAGUGAAUCAUCGAAUCUUUGAACGCACAUUGCGCCCCUUGGUAUUCCGGGGGGCAUGCCUGUUCGAGCGUCAUUUAGACCAACUCCCGCUCCGGCGGGGUCUUGGGCUGCGCCUUUGGGCGGGCCUUAAAACCAGUGGCGGUGCCCUAAGGCUCUACGCGUAGUAAUUCUUCUCGCGAUAGGGUCCUUGCGGUGUCUUGCCAGCAACCCCCAACUCUCUAGGGUUGACCUCGGAUCAGGUAGGGAUACCCGCUGAACUUAAGCAUAUCAAUAAGCGGAGGAA